UACGUAGGCAGCAAGCGUUGUUCGGAGUUACUGGGCUUAAAGCGUGUGUAGGCGGGCCCCUAAGUACCUUGUGAAAUCCCACGGCUCACCCGUGGAACCGCUGGGUAUACUGGGGGCCUUGGGCCACUCAGGGGCGACUGGAACAAGCGGUGGAGCGGUGAAAUGCGUAGAUAUCGCUUGGAACGCCGAAGGUGAAAACAGGUCGCUGGGAGUGCGCCGACGCUGAGACACGAAAGCCAGGGGAGCAAACGGG
rnacentral:rRNA from 1 species